rnacentral:rRNA from 1 species
GUAGUCCACGCCGUAAACGGUGGGUACUAGGUGUGGGAAAUAACCAACAUUUUCCGUGCCGGCGCUAACGCAUUAAGUACCCCGCCUGGGGAGUACGGCCGCAAGGCUAAAACUCAAAGGAAUUGACGGGGACCCGCACAAGCAGCGGAGCAUGUUGCUUAAUUCGAUGCAACGCGAAGAACCUUACCUGGAUUGAACUACGCAGGAAAAGCCAUAGAGAUAUGGUGUCCUUCGGGGUCUGCGAUAGGUGGUGCAUGGCUGUCGUCAGCUCGUGUCGUGAGAUGUUGGGUUAAGUCCCGCAACGAGCGCAACCCUUGUCCUAUGUUGCUAACGCGUUAUGGCGAGGACUCGUAGGAGACCGCCGUGGUCAACACGGAGGAAGGUGGGGAUGACGUCAAGUCAUCAUGCCCCUUACGUCCAGGGCUGCAAACAUGCUACAAUGGCAAGUACAGAGGGCUGCUAAUCCGUGAGGAUGCGCGAAUCCCAAAAAGCUUGUCUCAGUUCGGAUUGAAGUCUGCAACUCGACUUCAUGAAGCUGGAGUUGCUAGUAAUCCCAGAUCAGCAUUGCUGGGGUGAAUACGUUCCCGGGUCUUGUACACACCGCCCGUCAAACCACGAAAGUCGGCAACACCCGAAGCCAGUGGCCUAACCGCAAGGAAGGAGCUGUCGAAGGUGGGGUUGGUGAUGGGGGGUU